CAGCAGAUGGCUGAAAUUCUGAUGUGAUGUAGCUGCUUAAUGCACGAUCUGAAAACCCCUGCACUGGUGAUUUUGGAACAGGUCUAGAAUAUUUCAAUAAAUAUAUUAACAUACCAAGAAGUGCAGGAGCAACCACUGGGCAAAUACAAAACCUUACAUCCCUGGUGAUGUCUCUGAGCUGAACAGACAUGUCCUUGCAGAAGUUUGAUAAUGAUGGUACGAUGGUGCCCCCUCGUGACAGAAGCUUUAACUACAGCUUGAAUAUCGUGUGACAUGGUAAAUAAAUUCAUUGAGCCCCAGCAAGAAGGAAUAUUAAAGAAGAGCAAAGAAUAGUAGCUGGACAGAAGAUGGGGGUCACUGAACCUGUAUCC
rnacentral:lncRNA from 1 species